UUUUUUUUUUUUUUGUCUUUUUAGGGCAGUGCCCACGGCAUAUGGAAGUUCCCAGACUAGGGGUCUGAUUGGAGCUGGAGCUGCCGCCUACACCACAGCUCACAGCAACACCGGAUCCUUAACCCACUGAGCAGGGCCAGGGAUCAAACCCAUGUCCUCAUGGAUAUCAGUUGGCUUUGUUACCACUGAGCCACAGCAGAACUCCACUAGGAGCAUUUUUAAGUCACCUACUGAUUGGUAGGCAAUGCACUAAGAAAUUUACAUAUAUUGUCCUAGUUGAUCCUUAUACCAGGUCUCCAAAAAAAAGCUGUUAUUUUCCUCAUUUUAUGGAUGAGGAAAUUGAGGCUGCCUUUCUUGUUGCUGCCUAUUUUUAAGUAUCACCCCAGAGGCAGGUUAACUCUAUUAAUCUAAUUUGAGGAAUUAGCCCAUCUACAGGGGGAACAUUCUGGCUCAGGUGAAGGAAAGUGUAAAGGCUAGUGUUCUUUUGGAAAUCCCUAAACACACAAAGUCAUAAUAUGUAUAAAGCCAACUCCAUUGGUGAGUUGAUUCUUCCAAAAAAGAAAAAAAAAUUUACACUGGCAAGGCUCUAUCAGAAACUAUCCUCAUUAUUUCCAGAAUACAAAUUGUUCACUAAAUGAAGCCUAGGGCAGAAUUACCACUUCUAUCUAUCUAUUUAUUUAUUUUUUGUUUUUUUGCCUUUUCUAGGGCCGCCCCCUGUGGCAUAUGGAGAUAGAAGGAAAAAAACAAUCCUGGCACAAGUUACAUUUUUAUGCUGCAACAUUUUGCAAGUCUCUUCUAGUCACUGGAGAAAACAAAACAGGUACAAAAGAGAAAAACCCGGCCAACACUUCACUUGUGGAUUCAAAGAGUCUCUUCCCAAGCUCUUGCAAAGAAACCUGAACUCCUGCCAGGGGAUGCAGGGGAAGGGGCUGUGUUAUCAUCACUAGCAUCUUCACUGCGCCUACACGCCUGGAUGGUGAGCAGUUCUCAUGAGCUUCUCAUUAAUGUUACUUAAUGAUUAUUAGGUAACUUAAUUCUUCUAAUCCAUUAUUAUUAGGUUUAAAGGUCUAAAGAUUAACAGAUUUUUAAAAGGUGGUAUGUACAUACAAUGGAAUAUUAUUCAGCAACAAAAAGGAAUGAAAUUCUAAUACAGGCCACAAUCUAGAAAACAUUAUGCCGAGUGAAAUAAACUAGAUACAAAAGCUUAAAUAGUGUAUGAUUGCGCUUAUAUGAAGUACCUGGAAUAGGCGAAUGCAGAGACGAAAAGUAGAACUUACCAGAGGUUGGUGGAAGAAGGAAUGCGGGGGGGGGGGGGGGUUGUUUUGUCUUUUUAGGGCCACAGCCAGAUAUGGAAGUUCCCAGGAUAGGGGUCAAAUCAAUCUGAGCUGUAGCUACCAGUCUGCACCACAGCAACACCAGCUCUGAGCAGCGUGUGCUACCUACACCACAGUUCACAGCAACACAGGAUCCUUAACCCACUGAGCGCGGCCAGGGACCAGCCCACAUCCCCAUAGGUACUGGUUGGAUUCGUUACCAGUGAAUCAAGACAGGAGCUCCCUGAAGUUAUUAUUUAAUGGGUAGAGUUUCUAUUUGGGAUCGCAAAAGUGUCCUGAAAAUGGAUAGAAUGGCAGUUACCCAAUGAUGUGACAGUACCCAAUGCCACAAAAUUGCACACUUAAAAAUGAUAAAAAGAAAAAAUUUACGUCUACUUUACAAUAGAAAUACCAAAACAAGUUUAUAAUAAUAACAAAAGUCCAAAGUGAAGUUGAAUCCUGUUGAGAGAGGGGAACGAAUACAGGUGGAAGGGAGACGAAGCGCAUGCCCGCUUGCUCCAGUCCCGGCAACGCACCUGCAACAACUCUGUCAAAUGCUGGAAAACAUUUUACGCACAGCAUAAUCUAACUUAAUCACACACACACACCCUACAGAGUAUUAGACAAUUAGCAGGUUCGAUGAAUACAGGAGACAAACCGUACAAGAAAAAAAUGGAAAACUUGCCCUUCCUUUGGGGAAAUGUACGUCGCUCACUAAACUAUUCUUCUGCCUCUGGUGACGAUAAGGGGAGCCGCUGCUACCGGCCGCGCGGAGACCCCCUGGGCGGGGGAGGUGGCAAGGGAGCCUUGCCCCGGGAAAGCGGGGAGCUCUGUCCCUUCAGGUGGCGACGCAGGGGACUGGAAGAGACGAUGGAGAGCCUUUACCUGGCGGCGGGAAGACGGGGCCCUGCUGCCUCCCGCUGCUGGGCAGCCCCGCACGCUCGGGGCAGGAGCCGCAGAUCCGCAAGGCGCUGGGCGAGGACGCCUGGGCGGCUCCGCAGAUCCCGCCCAACCCGGGGUUUGUGGUUCCCGAGUUCCUGCUUCCGUUGGGGCCUCUCAAAGUUUGCCGGAGGGGGAAGGGCACAUUCCCGCCCUGCAACCCGGAGAUGCUUGGCUGCAACCUGGAGCUUGUGCUCUAGGCACGCGGGAGAGCCGGGAGCCGGGAGCCGGGAGCCCCUCCCAGU
rnacentral:lncRNA from 9 species